UACGUAGGGUGCAAGCGUUGCCCGGAUUUAUUGGGCGUAAAGGGCGCGUAGGCGGCUCUGCACGUCCGUUGUGAAAUCGCCCGGCUCAACUGGGCGGGGUCAGCGGAUACGGCAGAGCUUGAGCAAGCUAGGGGGCAAUGGAAUUCCCGGUGUAGUGGUGGAAUGCGUAGAUAUCGGGAGGAACACCAGUGGCGAAGGCGGGUCUCUGGGCAGUAACUGACGCUGAGGAGCGAAAGCGUGGGGAGCGAACAGG
rnacentral:rRNA from 1 species